rnacentral:rRNA from 2 species
GACGAACGCUGGCGGCGUGCUUAAUACAUGCAAGUUGAGCGGAGCCAUUGAUGAAGCUUGCGAUUCAAUGGUCGAGCGGCGGACGGGUGAGUAACGCGUGGGCAACCUGCCCUCUAGUCUGGGAUAACAGUUCGAAAGGGCUGCUAACACCGGAUAAGCUCACGGAGAGGCAUCUUUCAGUGAGAAAAGUUUACGCUAGAGGAUGGGCCCGCGUCCCAUUAGCUAGUUGGUGAGGUAACGGCUCACCAAGGCGCCGAUGGGUAGCCGACCUGAGAGGGUGACCGGCCACACUGGGACUGAGACACGGCCCAGACUCCUACGGGAGGCAGCAGUAGGGAAUUUUCCGCAAUGGGCGAAAGCCUGACGGAGCAACGCCGCGUGAGGGAAGAAGGUCUUCGGAUCGUAAACCUCUGUCUUCAGGGACGAUGAUGACGGUACCUGAGGAGGAAGCCACGGCUAACUACGUG